UGCUGCUUCUGUCAUUGAACGACCAAGGGAAACAUUCGUGCUUCCCUAAUGCUGGCCUCCUGGGGGGAGUGUGUUUUAGGAGAUGGGCAGUCUGAUUGAGUCAAACGGUACACACAUCACGGGCCAGUUAAUCCUGGGACUUUACCUAUCAAUGAGAUGACAGAACCGAGGCACAGAGAGGGUUGGACCCAGCUGGGACUGGAAGCCAGACCGUUGGCUCCAGUGGACAUGCCCUUUGUCUCUACUCUGUGGGCUUCUAACCUGAAACUCGCGGAUGGCAGUGGAGAGGGGAGAGAAGCCCGCUGGCAUCUGAGGACAACAAUCUCUAGAUGAACUUUCCUGUUAGCUAUGUUUCCAAGCCCGUGAAGCUCUGAGAAAGACCUGGCUUGGAGGAUGGAGCGGGGAGUGCAGGUUACUGAAGACCAGGCUUGCUGGAAGUUCCAGGGAGGCUGAAUGGGGAGGAGGAGUGAAAAUAGAGAUGAAGUCAACCACGACGCCCUACCCCACCGCCAGCUCCUAAUAUUGUAUCAGGCCCAAUCUGAUACCGAACAUCCUGAAAACAGAGCUGCGUUCUGCCCACUGUAGUUCCCACGAUGGCCUCAGCGCAAAGUGCCAGCUGUGUGAGCUGGUGACCAGGAGCAGGGUCUCUGCCUAGAGAGGUCUACACCUGAGGAAGUGAUGGAUGGGAAACUGAGUGGAGAUCAACGGAAGAGCAAGAACUAUCUCUGUGAUUACAAUUGAAGACAAAUUGGCCUUGUUGAACUGUAGAGGUUGGGACCAAAGUAUGAAAGAAGAGGACUUAUAAUUGGGCACUUGCCUCUGGGAGGGAAAAAGGAGAUCGCAAACCUGAAGCUGUGCCAUGGGCUUGGCUUUCUGGGCAGGCGAGCCCCCAUGGGCACUAACCGUCUCUCCCCUCCCUGUCCCCACUGUCUCCUGGCUGGUCUUCCUGGCCAGACGCUGGAGGGUGAUCUGCUCUUUCAUAUUGCAGUACAUGACUCAUUUCUUCCUUGCCUUCUGACUUCCUUUCUUUCAUUCCUCAUUCUUAACAGUUUUACCAGCUAUUUAAAAUGCAUACUCUUAGAAAAUAUAAUGCAAAUGCAUGGAAAAGAUGGAAACGGUGGGAAAGGAAUACAGAGAAAAUUGUCUUCCUUCCACCCCUGACUCUUGACAAAAGUUCCUUCUGAAGGACCCACCACUGAUACUAAUUUCCAGAGUAUACCUUCCCAGAGAAAUUAUAUAUAUAUAUAUCAGCAGAAGUACCUAUCUAUCCAUGUGCGCCAUAGAUGCAAGCCUGUCAUCUGCUUCCUGCAACUUGCUAUUUCAGGCAGACUCCUUCUAAAACACCAUCCUGCUUAAAAUACUUUAAUAGAUCCCAGUUCUCUGCAGAAUAAAGCUCAGUCUCUUCCUGGUCAGAGCAUCUUUCACAAUCUAACUCCCCAAAUGAGCAUUGCCUUCCAGUCCGGUGCCUCUCUCCCUCCAGCUCCCUCCUUCUCCUCUUCCCGCCCCACCCAGGUUUCAGCCUCAGUGGAUCUCCAGACCUAUAAGUCUCACUGCUGUUAGUUCCUUGGUCUAAAGACACUUGCUUUACCUCUUCUGCUUGUCAAAAACAUUCCUUUUUUUUUUUUU